rnacentral:rRNA from 1 species
GAUGAACGCUGGCGGCGUGCUUAAUACAUGCAAGUCGAACGGAGUUUAAAUGAAACCUAGUGAUUUUAAACUUAGUGGCGGACGGGUGAGUAACGCGUGGGUAACCUGCCCUGUACAGGGGGAUAACGGCUGGAAACGGCCGCUAAAACCGCAUAACAUCGGAAUACCGCAUGAUGUUCCGGUCAAAUAUUUAUAGGUACAGGAUGGGCCCGCGUCUGAUUAGCUAGAUGGUGAGGUAACGGCCCACCAUGGCGACGAUCAGUAGCCGUACUGAGAGGUAGAACGGCCACAUUGGGACUGAGACACGGCCCAAACUCCUACGGGAGGCAGCAGUAGGGAAUAUUGGUCAAUGGGGGAAACCCUGAACCAGCGACGCCGCGUGAGUGAAGAAGUAUUUCGGUAUGUAAAGCUCUAUCAGCAGGGACGAUAAUGACGGUACCUGACUAAGAAGCCCCGGCUAACUACGUGCCAGCAGCCGCGGUAAUACGUAGGGGGCAAGCGUUAUCCGGAUUUACUGGGUGUAAAGGGAGUGUAGGUGGUCAUGCAAGUCAGAUGUGAAAUUCCGGGGCUCAACCCCGGACUGCAUUUGAAACUGCGUGACUGGAGUGCAGGAGAGGCAAGCGGAAUUCCUAGUGUAGCGGUGAAAUGCGUAGAUAUUAGGAGGAACACCAGUGGCGAAGGCGGCUUGCUGGACGACAACUGACGCUGAGGCGCGAAAGCGUGGGGAGCAAACA